rnacentral:rRNA from 1 species
AAUGUCGUGUAAUAAGAGGAAUGAGAAGAUUAACAUCCUCUUCAGUAGCAUCAAGAGGACAGCUAGUGUGCCGGCAGCCGCCGUAGUACCAGCUGCUACAGUAGAUAAUAAAAAAAUUGCAGCAAAAAAAAUGGUAGUAGAAGAUUUUCUGCUGCGCAUCUUCCUUUCGAGGGGGAGUUGCGGCAUGGUGGAUUUCUUAGGAUGUGCUGCCAUGUCCGGAUGUUUACUUUGAGAAAAUUAGAGUGCUCAAAGCAGGCUUUUGCCUUGAAUAGUUUAGCAUGGAAUAAUAAAGUAGGACUUUGGUUCUAUUUUGUUGGUUUUAGGUACCAAAGUAAUGGUAAUAGGAAC